rnacentral:lncRNA from 1 species
GAGGAGACGCAAAGGGGCUGCUCUUUGGCCCCAUUCCCCGACCUUGGAGGAUUCCUCCCCUACCCUCCCCCCAGGCGGCUGCAGUCCCCCCCACUGAGAACGCGACCUCCUCGCCUGGACUCCCGGCUCCGCGGAUUCGGUCUCCCUGACCAGAGCCCUUUCCACCCCACCCUAGCGCUUCCAGUCCCAACCACUGGAGACCUAGUCGAGCGAAGUGGGGAAAGGGCAGCAAGCACCCAACGAGGGACCCAGAAGAGCCUGAUGGCCCUAAGAAACUUGCCCCCUUGACAGCAAACCUGAGAGAGCUAAAGGUGCUGGGACAUGGAGGAAGGAGUUGCAGGAGAGGCUGGACUGAAGCCAAAAGAAGGACCUGGAAGUGAAGCAUGAGUGCAGGUGUGCCUGUCCUGUUUGGCCUCCUGAAUGUCAGGUCAGUGCCUAUCUGGGUGAGGAAUUUCAAGAACUUUGGGACCUCUGGGAUGGCAGUGGAGGUAGGACAGAGGAACAGAAGGAAGAUUGAGGAACAAUUUUAACUUGGUCCCCACCUCUCUGCUGAGCUCAGGUGAGACAUGUUGAUGUAAGAGCGCCUCAUCUAUCCACACCCCCAGCUCACCCUAGCCUUAGAAGUGAUCCGGGAAUAGAACACCUGGGUGGCUCAGUUGGUUAAGCGCCUGCUGUUGGCUCAGGUCAUGAUCUCACGGUUCAUGGGUUCGAGCCCUACAUCCGGGCUCUCUACUGUCUGCUGGGAGCCUGCUCUGGAUCCUCUGUCCCCUCUCUCUCUGCCCCUCCCCUCCUCAAUAAUUAAUUAAUUAGUUAAUUUUUAAAAAGUGAUCUGGAAAGAACAGAAA